GACAGGACCUAUCUGGCAAAACAUAGAAUCGUAGACCCCAAAAAUCACCCUAGUCCAAGCCCCUGAACAAUGCAGGAAUCUCCACUGAAGCAUCCAUGACAGAUGGCCACCCAACCUCUGCUUAACAUGAUUUGUUGGUUUGGCUGCAUUAAAUAUCUCACAAGUAUCUGCACACCCACACAAUUCUGUCCUCCAUCUGGGCAAGCGAUAGGUAUUACCAGAGGUCAGGGACAUAUCCUGGCAGAAAGACUGAGGGAGCAAAGCAGAGCCAGUGAGAGGUGUGGUCAGUGGAGACAGGAGAGGAGGUGUGGUCCCAGGGGCCAGUCACAGAGCUCUGGGGGGCCACAGGGCCUGCAGCUCCCCAAUCCCUGCCUUAAAGCUUCUCAGUUUCUCAUGUGCAAACCUUCAAGGUGCAGCCCAUCUACUGAAAAACGCUGGAUGUUUCUGGACAGAUAAAAGAAAGGACUUCUUCAUCCAGCGCAGCGUUAAGCUACGGAACUCAAUGGCACAGGAAGCAGUGAUACUAGACCGCCCUUUCUGUGAUCGAGAUCGCCCAUGUGCAUCUCUUAAUCGUCCUGCCCAACGGACCUCCCGACCUUCCCAUCGCCACGGCAGGAAGGUGUUCGCUCGGCGACUCCAGAAAGGGAACGAUUUAUGAUGCUUGUAACUGGAGGCAAGGAGGAGAUGACUGCACCAAAUCCUAAUUUCACCCCCCUGCCCCAAAAGAUUAAAAGGUAUCCCCAUU